AUUGAACGCUGGCGGCAUGCCUUACACAUGCAAGUCGAACGGUAACAGGUCUUCGGAUGCUGACGAGUGGCGAACGGGUGAGUAAUACAUCGGAACGUGCCCAGACGUGGGGGAUAACGAGGCGAAAGCUUUGCUAAUACCGCAUACGAUCUAAGGAUGAAAGCAGGGGACCGCAAGGCCUUGUGCGUGUGGAGCGGCCGAUGGCAGAUUAGGUAGUUGGUGGGAUAAAAGCUUACCAAGCCGACGAUCUGUAGCUGGUCUGAGAGGACGACCAGCCACACUGGAACUGAGACACGGCCCAGACUCCUACGGGAGGCAGCAGUGGGGAAUUUUGGACAAUGGGCGAAAGCCUGAUCCAGCAAUGCCGCGUGCAGGAUGAAGGCCUUCGGGUUGUAAACUGCUUUUGUACGGAACGAAAAGGCUCUGGCUAAUACCUGGGGCACAUGACGGUACCGUAAGAAUAAGCACCGGCUAACUACGUG
rnacentral:rRNA from 1 species